rnacentral:lncRNA from 1 species
GCCUUGAGCAUAUGUCUGCUCAUAUCGAGGUGAUCCCAUGUUCGAUACAGUUCCGUUCACAUGAAAAUUCUGCUGCUGCUGAACCAUCUGGCCAUUCCAGGCAGGACCUGUCCCUUGAGCAUACGAAUGCUCAUAUCGAGGUGAUCCCAUGUUUGGUACAGUUCCAUUCGCAUGAAAAUUCUGCUGCUGCUGAGCCAUCUGGCCAUUCCAGGCAUGACCCAUCCCUUGAACAUAUGACUGCUCAUAUCGAGGUGAUCCCAUGUUAGAUACAGUUCCAUUCGCAUGAAACUUCUGCUGCUGCUGCUGAAUUUGAGGAGUCAAAGGAUCGGUUUGUCCAGCCAAACCAGAAGAUUGGAUUUUUGGAGAACCAGAGGUACUAUUACUAUCAGAGAACAUAUC